CAGGGAGAACUCCCCAAACUGGAACCGAAGUUCCCCAAACGAACAAAGUCAAAGAGGCUACGGUGUGCACUCCAGGGAACUUACCAAAUUGCUGGCAGAAUCAAAUUGUAAGUUAUGAGAUUUAACUCUCAGAUCACCAAGCAAGUAUGGCUACUCCUAACUCUGAGCAAUAAAUAUCAGACUGGGCAGAAUUUUUUUGCCAGAAGAUAUAAUAUAAAUUCUUUAAAAAGGGAUGGACUUGAUACCAGAACAUCCUCCUAGACAGUGCUGGGGAAUAUUGAUGACUUUGGCCUCUACCUUGGACUCUUGUAUCUGAUGACUUGCAGACUAUCCUUGUUCUGUUAAUAUCCCAUUUCGUCAGAUAGAGCUCAGUAGGGCUUCCCUGGUGGCACAGUGAUUAAGAAUCCGCCUGCCAAUGCAGGGUACACGGGUUCGAGCCCUGGUCUGGGAAGAUUCCACAUGCCACGGAGCAACUAAGCCUGAGCACCACAACUGCUGAGCCUGCACUCUAGAGCCUGUGCUCCACAACAAGAGAAGCCACCGCAACGAGAGACCCACGCACCACAACGAAGAGUAGCCCCCACUCGACGCAACUAAAGAAAGCCCAUAUAUUUGCUAAAAUAAAAGCUUCUUACCUACUGGAACAAUCCAUCCUGUGCUUACCCCAAAUCAACUUAAUUGAAUUUGGGGUAUUAAAAAUUUUGUAGGUCCCUUCCACAGAUGGCUUGUUUUAGAUCCCUUACAUUUUUCCUAUAUUGGUUUUUAAAUUAUAAAAUAGUCCAUGUGUAUAAAAGGAUAUAAUGGGGGGUAGGGGAGAGAGGGAUUGGGAGUUUGGGAUUAGCAGAUGCAAACUAUAGAGAAUGGAUAAACAAGGUCCUACUGUAUAGCACAGGGAACUAUCUUCAAUAUCCUGUGAUAAAUCAUCAUGGAAAAGAAUAUAAAAAAGAAUGUAUA